rnacentral:rRNA from 1 species
AACGUAGGAGACAAACGUUAUCCGGAGUUACUGGGCGUAAAGGGCGUGUAGGUGGUUUCGUAAGUCUGGCGUGAAAUUUUUCGGCUUAACCGGGAAAGGUCGUCGGAUACUGCGGAACUAGAGGACGGUAGAGGCGUGUGGAAUUCCGGGUGUAGUGGUGAAAUGCGUAGAGAUCCGGAGGAACACCAGCGGCGAAGGCGACACGCUGGGCCGUACCUGACACUGAUGCGCGACAGCAUGGGGAGCAAACAGG